GACGAACGCUGGCGGCGUGCCUAAUACAUGCAAGUCGAACGAUAGCGACCGAUGCUUGCACUGUUCAAUCUAGUCGCGAACGUGCGAGUAGCACGUGGAUAACCCGCUCAUCAGAGGGGUAUAACAUCCGGAAACGGAUGCAAAAAACGUAUAGGUCUUCGAACCGCAUGGUUUGAUGAGAAAAAGAGGCGCACGCUUCUGCUGAUGGAUCGACCCGCGCUGCAUUAGCUAGUGGGUUAGGUAACGGCUCACCAAGGCCGUGAUCCAUAGCCGACCUGAGGGGUGGAUCGGCCACAUUGGGACUGGACAACGGCCAAACUCCCUACGGGAGGCAGCAGUAGGAAAUCUUCGCCAAUGAAGGCAGGUCUGCCGGGGCAACGCGGCGGGGGUAAGGAGGGUUUCCGGUUCGUAAGACUCUGUGGUUAGAGAGAAAGAAGUGCUAGGGUAAAUGUUAGCGCCUUGACGGUAUCUAACCAGAAAGCCACGGCUAACUACGUG
rnacentral:rRNA from 1 species